rnacentral:lncRNA from 1 species
AGAUUUGUCUAUUUCUCAAAUUAGGGCAAAAACCUUAAACCUUCUUCAUCGAGUUUACUUGUAAUUAGUGAUGGCACAAGAAAAAAUUUGCAAGUGUGGUGAGCCAGCAAAGAUGUUUACCUCUUGGACAAACAACCCUAGGAGAAGGUACUACUCUUGUGACAUUAGGAAGGUAUGGGAUUUUAUGUACCUUUCUAGUUAUGAAUGCAAUUCUCCCUAUUUUAAUUUUUUUCUCUGUUUUAUGGAUUGAAAGUGUAGCAGAGAUUGCAAUGGUUGCAACUACUUUGAAUGGCAUGACCCAACCAUGUACCAAAGAUGUACUGCACUAAUUCCUGGUCUGUUAAGAAUUAUGAACAACAAGGAUAUGAUGAUUGAAAGACUAAGAGCAAGAGAACGGAAGUUGGUGAUGGAAAUUGUGGUGUUGUUGAUAUUACUAUUGAUUAGUUUGCUAGUCUAGAGCUCCAUUGAUAUUUAAACUACAUCAAAGGCAUGGGAUGAACAUAGACAGAAAGAUGGGAACAAUUCGGCCAAGUUGUUGAGGUAAUGUUGGCCACUGGAUUCAUUGGCGACAUGUUUUGUGGAUGAAUGUUUAGUUUGUGAUGUAAUUGUAAUCUAGCAUCUAUGUUUUGCACAUGCUAAUGAAAAAUUGGUUGGCUAAAUGGUCAUCUUUUGGAUUUUAG